rnacentral:lncRNA from 1 species
UAUAAAUACAUAAGAAAGGUAGAAAUUGUUACCAGAGUGAAAUCCACACUAGAUAUAUUACAGAGAGAAACAGAAGAAGAGAAGAGAAGAGAGAAGCAUAUACAUAUGAACAUUAGGCCUUUUUAGAAGAAGAGAAGAGAAGAGAGAAGCAGAGGACUUGAGAGGAGAGGCCUUUUCAGAAGAAGAGAAGAGAAGAGAGAAGCAGAGGACUUGAGAGGAGAGGCCUUUUCAGAAGAAGAGAAGAGAAGAGAGAAGCAGAGGACUUGAGAAGAAGAAGAGAAGAGAAGAGAGAAGCAGAUACAUAUGAACAGGAGGCCUUUUCAGAAGAAGAGAAGAGAAGAGAGAAGCAGAGGACAGGAGGCCUUUUCAGAAGAAGAGAAGAGAAGAGAGAAGCAGAGGACUUGAGACCUUUUCAGAAGAAGAGAAGAGAAGAGAGAAGGAAAGGACUUGAGAAAAGAAGCGAAGACAAGACUCAAUUCUAGCUUCUUUGCUU